UUGAAACACUGGUUCUUGUACAAUCACUGAAGUUAAGCAAUGUCAAGCCCGAUCAGUACUGAGAUGGGUGAUGGCUUGAGAAUACCAGGUGCUGUAAG